rnacentral:lncRNA from 1 species
GCAGUUAUAAAAAACGGGACUCAAACUAUAACAAAUUAAAAAAGGAAACAUCUGUGACAAUUAGUGUAAGCCAGAAGCUAAUACACGUGAAUGACUUGUAAGAAAAGCCAAAUGUAUCAUGCCCUAUCAACAAAACACUCACAAACCACAGGGAUUUUUGAAGUUCAUCUGUAAAAAUGCCAAUAAUUGUGGAAAACCAGGUUAUCUUCAACAAAACAUACAUACAUACAACAUAUCAGCUGUAAACCAACUAGUUGAUGUAAAUAUAUAAUGAAGGUCACGUAAUAGUAAAGGUGUAGACUGAGUAGCAUCUGUUAAAUCUGAAGAUUUUUAAAUUGGCAAGGCUGAACACUUGUACUUAAUAAUUUUAAUGGAAUCAUUUGGAAACUCUUCAAAGACUUCCGGGUAAUCCUUAAUAUGUCUUAAAAAUGGAAAAGUCUCAAGGAGAUUUGGGAGGAAGUUAGGUUGUGUGUCUUCAAAAAGUACACAGGGUUGACCUAUGUUUUAAAAGGUCAACGCUUGACAUGUGUCAGCAAAGAGAUGAAGGAUGGAAAUAUGCUUAAUACUAAUGAGCAUUAUUGCACUGGAAGUACUUUUUUUUCCACUGCCUCAGCAAUGUUUGUUGUGAAGACUCUUACGUAAACAUUGUAAAAUAGUGUCAAACCCUGAUUUCCCAAACAACGUCUUUCAGAAAAUCUUCCAGAUCUCCUGUCAGAAACACUCUACAUGCAAUCCAUAGUCCAUGUGGCAACAAAUGACACAGUAACAAGAUCACACUGACCACGGGAUGGUUGAGGAGGCAAACCAGAGGAGAGCUCUGCUCGGGAGAGAUCAAAGGGGGAGACGAACAAUAAGCUCAUGCAAAAGGAAGAUUUGAUGGAAGCUGGCCUGAAAGACGGUCAGGGAACCAGGGCAGAGUGGAGUGAACCUGUACACCUGCCUACUCCAAAGGACCUGAAUCAGAAUACAACAGUGCUCCGACUCCUGAAAUGGGAUGAGACUCAACAGCUCAUGGGCAGCAGGACAUACACAUGUCUACAGACUUUCACUCAGUGCUCUCUCUUAAUUUGUGAAUUUGGCUAUUAUGAGUGUUUGUAAGAAUUUCUUCUUUUGUUGCACAUCAUGUCAAAACUCAAAAAGUUUUCUAAAAGAUUCUAACUUUGUAAAUGAAUGUAGAUGAAUGUUAAGGUGCUUUUUGGAGAAAGGGAAGGAAUAUGGUUUUGCACACUUGUCUUUGCAAAUCUUAGGAUGAUAUUUUUACACCUGGACAGAUAAAACUAGUGACUACUCAACCUCUUUACUUGUUGAGCUGGCUUCCUGAUGUCUCUCAUAGCUGAUGAACAUUCUUUUAUGACUGUCUAUGAACCUAGGAAAUGGUCUUAGUUCUCCACCAAAAUGUUGGAAAUAAGAUGUCUCAUUGGAAAAAAGGUAUUGCUUUUAGAAAAGUUGAAAUUAAUUACAUUUCAAUAAAAUUUCAGAUUUCUGCA